GACCAGUGAUGUUAUGAUUCUGCCAAAUGAGAUAAAGUGAUAUUACUCAAAAACCGUUCCAUUUUUAUUCUGAGGUU